CCUACGGGUGGCAGCAGUGGGGAAUAUUGGGCAAUGGGCGAAAGCCUGACCCAGCAACGCCGCGUGAAGGAAGAAGGCUUUCGGGUUGUAAACUUCUUUUGACAGGGAAGCGCAGAAGACGGUACCUGUCGAAUAAGCCAAGGCUAACUACGUGCCAGCCGCCGCGGUAAUACGUAGGUGGCAAGCGUUGUCCGGAUUUAAUGGGUGUAAAGGGCGUGUAGCCGGGGUGACAAGUCAGAUGUGAAAUCCGGGGGCUCAACCCCCGAGCUGCAGUUGAAACUGUUGGUCUUGAGUAGCGGAGAGGUAGGCGGAAUGCCUAGUGUAGCGGUGAAAUGCGUAGAUA
rnacentral:rRNA from 1 species